rnacentral:rRNA from 1 species
GCUUGAUGGCCUGGGAAUGUCGUCAAGGAAAGAUUUAUUGCAUUAGGAGGGGUCUGCGUCCGAUUAGCUAGAUGGUGAGGUAACGGCUCACCAUGGCGAUGAUCGGUAGCUGGUCUGAGAGGAUGGUCAGCCACACGGGAACUGAGAUACGGUCCCGACUCCUACGGGGGGCAGCAGUGAGGAAUAUUGCACAAUGGGGGAAACCCUGAUGCAGCAACGCCGCGUGGAGGAUGAAGGCCUUCGGGUUGUAAACUCCUUUUCCAGGGGAUGAGAGAGGACAGUACCCUGGGAAUAAGUCACGGCUAACUACGUGCCAGCAGCCGCGGUAAUACGUAGGUGGCGAGCGUUAUCCGGAAUUACUGGGCGUAAAGCGCAAGCAGGCGGCUUGUUAAGUUUGACGUGAAAUCUCCCGGCUUAACCGGGAGCAGCCCGUUGAAAACUGGCAAGCUUGAGGCGAUGAAAGGGGUGUGGAAUUCC